UCAUUAACGAAUAUAAUUCGAGGGGUUGUCGCUGGCCUCGCUCGCGCGAGGCAUGUGCACGCUUCUCGUUUUUCUCUCAACUCACCUGUGCACCUAAUGUAGGAUGCCUCUCCUCCGGGAGGGGGGACCUAUGUCUUCGUAACAUCUUCGUGUAGAAAGUCUUUGAAUGUUUACUAUCAUCGAGUCGCGACUUCUAGGAGACGCGGUUCUUUGAGAUAAAAGUUAUUACAACUUUCAGCAACGGAUCUCUUGGCUCUCGCAUCGAUGAAGAACGCAGCGAAAAGCGAUAUGUAAUGUGAAUUGCAGAUCUACAGUGAAUCAUCGAAUCUUUGAACGCACCUUGCGCUCCUCGGUGUUCCGAGGAGCAUGCCUGUUUGAGUGUCAGUAAAUUCUCAACCCCUCUCGAUUAGCUUCGAGAGGGCGCUUGGAUAGUGGAGGUUGCCGGAGACUUGGAUUCGUCCGAGACUCGGGCUCUUCUGAAAUGCAUCGGCUUGCGGUCGACUUUCGACUAUGUGCGACAAGGCUUUCGGCGUGAUAAUGAUCGCCGUUCGCUGAAGCGCAUGACUGAACGUCCNGUGCCUCUAAUACGUCGACCGCUUAUUAUCUCUCCGGAGAGACAGGGUCUUCCUUAUUGACUUUUGACCUCAAAUCAGGUAGGACUACCCGCUGAACUUAAGCAA
rnacentral:rRNA from 1 species